UUGACGAACCCAUAGACCCUGUUCUUUCCUCCUCCCUGUCUCUACUCUCCCUCUAUUUUCCCACACCGCCCCGCCAAGAGACACUGUCGGGCUCCGUCCAAGACGCCAUCGUUUCUCCACCACAAGCGAUGCCAGAUCUUCCCCGAUGAGAAGUGUCACCGACUCUCCACCCUCCACCAUCCACCAGCCGUCCACGCCAUCCAUGCUUGAGCUCGCUGAGUUUUCCCCCCAAGUUUGUUCAUGUUUUCUUUUCAUCUUGGAGCUGAUUUAUUACUAGUGUUCUUGAUUCCUCUUUUGGUCCAUGGCAGGCGUGCUUUUUUUCAUGUCCGUGGUAGCUGCCUUCCCGGCAUGCUUGAGCCAAUUAUUCAUCUUCAUGGUCUGUUCAUACUCGAUCCCGAUCGGUUUUAUAUCUUAAAAAAUUCCAAAGUUGUGUUCACUCAUGAGAAAUCAAUUUGUCCAUGGUAAACACACGAGCAUGCAUCUUUCACCCUUCUUUUGCGGAUCAACAUGCAUCUUUCACUUUUCACUACGUAAGAGAUUCAGUUACCGCACCAAAAUACUCCUUUUAUUUGAGUAUGAAUGUUGGGAAAUUACAAUUCAUGGUCUAAUUGUGUGCUUUCUUCAUCCGUUUUACUUUAUGGUUAAAGAAAAAUCAGGAGAUGUUCAUGAAGUUUGCUUUCCAAUAUACAUGAUGCUAAAAUUUGGUCGCGUGUGAAGCAUGAACUUUACGUUCAAUCAUAUAGUUAUGAAGGAAGAAAUAGAAAAUCUUCAUGUCAAUCAUGCAUUGAUCCGUGCUUUGUUGUUACGACCAAAGGGAAAAGUGGAAAUAGGGAAGGGUGCUAUCUUCAUACAAACAUGAUUGCCCAAUGAUAAAAUGACUGAAGCUAGGGGUUUAAAUGCAAAAGAGAAGAAGAAGCAUGAAUCUUACAAUUGUUUGGGUCGUCCAACCAAUUUUGGUUUUACAUUCUUGUCCAUAGGCCCUUCCUUUCAUAUAUUAUAUGGUUAUCUUUCGUCUUAAUCCAAAAAUGCAGACAUGGACAGCUAGAAAAGGAACUUGGUCAGGCCGCACUCACUGAUAGGGACAACAACAUGCAGACAUCAAAGACGGCUUCGAGGUCGAAGCAUUCGGAUUUGUCUGGUGGGUCGGAUCAGUCUAGUGGAUAUUAUUUAUAUUUUGGGAUUUGCAAACAUACCAACUGAUUUUAUUGAUUUUUUGGACUUCCCAAUUGAUUUUGUUCAUCUACUCACCCUGCAACAGGUAGUAUAAUAUAGUAUAAAAAUAUAAGAUAAUAGAAACUUGAGCCAUACCAAAAUAUUAAAAUGUUGUCACCUUGCAAGGAAAAAAAGGAUUUUCCCGCAAAAAAGGGGGAAAGGGGACUAUAAAACAAAACUGAGACUGAGACUGAGACUAAACCCGAAAGCAAAUCUCAUAAAAUCUAUUUCGUGUUCGGUUUUCAAGUUUAGGUGUUGACGUGUUGGGAUAGUUUUUUGUUUGUUUGGGAAGAGGUGUUGGGAUAGAUCUCUCGCUAUCUCUGUGUCCGCCUCGUUUUCCACACACACAUACAAAAAAAGAGCUUUAGUGUAUGUUUGAUUUUUCUUUGAAUGUAUAAAAGCGGGAAUACUCCUUCAAUUCCAAAAUACUUUUAUUUUAAUCAAUCGAAAUUUAAGCUUGACCAAAUUUAUAGGAAAAAAGUACCAACAUCUAAAAUACCAAAUUAGUUUCGUCGUGGAAAUUUAGUUCGACAAUCUAGUAUUGGUGUAUUUUUCUACAUGUUUGGUCAUACUUGGAAAUUUCAACUUUUAUUUUUGGAUUAGAGACUUUGAAAAACGCUGCUCUACACACAAUUAAAAAUAACGCUACUCUAUUACCGAAAAGAGGCAUUUUCUCUUCUCCCCCCUCCAUCGUAGUUUCCAUGGGCCAAAUCAUAUAUUUAUACUACUGGGCAUGAUAUGGCAUUAUUUUUGUGGACAUCGUAGAAAGAUAAGAAUGGUUGGGUUGUCACGUUCUUGUCUUGCUGGAACGCAUAAUCGGGAGGUUUGGUAUUUGCCACUCAAAACGUCCACGUCUGGUUGUCGUGUUUGCGAGUUUCUAGCUGACACGCUCCCUCUACCCAUAGAAAGGUAGACAAGUGGGUGUAAGGUCGUCUCUGUCGGAGUAAUUAAUAUACUGCCGUGCACCACUGAACGCUACGCAUCGUGCUCUAGAAUAACCCGCCCGCAGAGAUCUGGUUUGUGCUCCGAUUGCUUUGGUGAUGGCACAAUCCGUCAUCCAUACGUCUGUCAGGGAAGGCCACAUUCGCCGGCGGCUCAUCCGUCAGGAGGCUCUCUUGGCCGACAAGUUGGACUCGUCGUCGGCAGUUCGGUCAGAAGAAACUCUGGCAGAUUAGCAGUUCGGUCAGAAGUAUUAUAUGUGUAUAUUAAAAAUAAAAGAGGAGAAAUCCAGGCGCUGGUUUUGGCACCAACAAGUAUCGAACGGAAUUUCCAC
rnacentral:lncRNA from 1 species